UACAGGGGGGGCAAGCGUUGUUCGGAAUUACUGGGCGUAAAGGGUUCGUAGGUGGCCACUUAAGUCAGACGUGAAAUCCCUCGGCUUAACCGGGGAACUGCGUCUGAUACUGGAUGGCUUGAGUUCGGGAGAGGGAUGCGGAAUUCCAGGUGUAGCGGUGAAAUGCGUAGAUAUCUGGAGGAACACCGGUGGCGAAGGCGGCAUCCUGGACCGACACUGACACUGAGGAGCGAAAGCCAGGGGAGCAAACGGG
rnacentral:rRNA from 1 species